GCCUUUGUGGUGUAGUGGUCAGCACGCUCGACGCGUAUUAGAGAGGUCCAUGGUUCGAGUCCCUCCGAAGGCA
rfam:Stegodyphus mimosarum contig84695, whole genome shotgun sequence.